AGCAGGAUCACUCGGUGUACAUGGGGUUUGUAGCAGGAUCACUCGGUGUACAGGGGGGUUUGGGGUUUGUAGCAGGAUGACUCGGUGUACAUGGGGUUUGUAGCAGGAUCACUCGAGGUACAGGGGGUUUGUAGCAGGAUGACUCGGUGUACAUGGGGUUUGUAGCAGGAUCACUCAGUGUACAUUGGGUUUGUAGCAGGAUCACUCGGUGUACAGGGGGGUUUGGGGUUUGUAGCAGGAUCACUCAGUGUACAUAGGGUUUGUAGCAGGAUCACUCGGUGUACGUGGGGUUUGUAGCAGGAUCACUCGGUGUACAUGGGGUUUGUAGCAGGAUGACUCGGUGUACAGGGGGGUUUGGGGUUUGUAGCAGGAUGACUCAGUGUACAUGGGGUUUGUGGCAGGAUAACUCGGUGUACAUGGGGUUUGUAGCAGGAUCACUCGGUGUACAUGGGGUUUGUAGCAGGAUCACUCGGUGUACGUGGGGUUUGUAGCAGGAUCACUCGGUGUACAUGGGGUUUGUAGUAGGAUCACUCAGUGUACAUGGGGUUUGUAGCAGGAUCACUCGGUGUACAUUGGGUUUGUAGCAGGAUCACUCGGUGUACAGGGGGGUUUGGGGUUUGUAGCAGGAUCACUCGGUGUACAUGGGGUUCGUAGCAGGAUGACUCGGUGUACAUGGGGUUUGUAGCAGGAUCACUCGAAGUACAUGGGGUUUGUAGCAGGAUCACUCGGUGUACAUUGGGUUUGUAGCAGGAUCACUCGGUGUACAUGGGGUUUGUAGCAGGAUCACUCAGUGUACAUGGGGUUUGUAGCAGGAUCACUCGGUGUACGUGGGGUUUGUAGCAGGAUCACUCGGUGUACAUGGAGUUUGUAGCAGGAUCACUCAGUGAACAUGGGGUUUGUAACAGGAUCACUCGGUGUACAUGGGGUUUGUAGCAGGAUCACUCGGUGUACGGGGGGUUUGGGGUUUGUAGCAGGAUAACUCGGUGUACAUGGGGUUUGUAGCAGGAUCACUCGGUGUACAUGGGGUUUGUAGCAGGAUCACUCAGUGUACAUGGGGUUUGUAGCAGGAUCACUCAGUGUACAUGGGGUUUGUAGCAGGAUCACUCGGUGUACAUGGGGUUUGUAGCAGGAUCACUCAGUGUACAUAGAGUUUCACGCGUCCAGCGUUAGGUUUCAUUGCACGAGCCGGAGGCGAUUGGUAUAAAACCUUUCGAUGAACGCAUAAAACCCCAUGUACGGCGAGUGAUCCUGCUGCAAACCCCAGCCUCGCCCAGGGUGUUUGAAGGUCACAGACCGACCGGCAGUAACCAGGACAGGGCAAGAUCCGGCAGACCACGUGUGAUGACGCCACAGGAUUACCUAUACAUGUACUUGCGCACUUUGCAUUUUCCCAACGUGCAGCAACAGCGUCAGAACGCCAUAUCAAUCUCCGUGUCGCAGGUAUUCGAGCCUACCGCCCCUUCCGUUGAAUGGCCGUGACCCAUGAACAUCACCGUCAUAGACGAAUUUGGACAAGGACAGUACAACAGUACUGGCAUAUCUGUGACUGGCAGAGAGUGCUUUUGGCUGUGGGAAACGAUUAGCGUUUCAAUCAGGAAGUGAGUCCAUAUGGUGGCGGUGGGGUGAUGGCUAAGGAGGAACUUCUGGCAACCAACGGAUGGGAUAUAUCUUCAUCCAUUGCAACCGUAAUAAACCUCAAGUCACUUUGAGAUUUUAUAGAAUAUGUAUAAAUAAAAAUAACUUUCAGCUCCAGCGAGCCUCUUCAGGUCAUAGAGAUAACAGCGUAUCAGAGCUGAAAAAGCUCGUCUAUAAAAGGAAUAAUCUACUCCGUAGUUUUGAUCUAUACACUGCCUGAGAGCUGUAGCCAGGUUCCCUUGUAGCAUCAAGCACCAUUACAAGACUGUGGGACGUUAUCAGACACUUGGGACAACACGUGACCUUCCCAGUUCCGGUCGAUCACGUAUCACUACUAUAACUACGGCAAUACCAGGAUUGCGUAGAACAUCAGCCUAGAUAGUGAGGAACCGUUUACGCGCUGACGGUAUUCGCGCUAGUCGACCAUUUAGAGUUGACAUUUUGGCGGACCUGCAUCGUCGGCUGCGAUGUCAAUGGUGUCAAGGUCACAGAGAAUGACCACAACUGCGAUGAUGACAAGUUUGGUGACGAGUCACGUUUAAUGCUUCGCCGUGUGGAUGGUAGACGUCGUUUUUACAGGCCUCGCGGGGAACGAAACUGCAUACAGGAAGUGGACAGAUUUGGUGGUUGCAGAGUGAUGAUGUGUAUCCCCUACACUGGUAGAACAGUUCUGGGAAAUUGGCACAAUGUUACACGGAUGAGAUUAUUCGGCCACAUGUCCUUCACAUUAUGCAACAAGCAGAGGUCAUUUUCCAACAAGACAACGCCCGACCUCACACGGCAAGAUUAACAACAGACCUUUUCAGGAAUCACAACUUCCAGUCCUGCCAUGUCAUGUCAUGUCUAGGUCUCCAGAUGUCAUGUCUAGGUCUCCAGAUGUCAUGUCUAGGUCUCCAGAUGUCAUGUCUAGGUCUCCAGAUGUCAUGUCUAGGUCUCCUGAUGACAUGUCUAGGUCUCCAGAUGCCAUGUCUAGGUCUCCAGAUGUCAUGUCUAGGUCUCCAGAUGCCAUGUCUAGGUCUCCUGAUGACAUGUCUAGGUCUCCAGAUGCCAUGUCUAGGUCUCCAGAUGUCAUGUCUAGGUCUCCAGAUGUCAUGUCUAGGUCUCCAGAUGUCAUGUCUAGGUCUCCAGAUGCCAUGUCUAGGUCUCCAGAUGCCAUGUCUAGGUCUCCAGAUUUUGAACUCAACGGAACAGGGAUGCACUGUAUCAACGACUGCGAUCACGUCAGCAACAACCAAAGAACCUCCGACAGUUGGCACAAGCACUGCAGGCAGAAUGGGUGAACAUUAUCCAGGCCACAUUUCGGAUCUGAUCGCUUCCAUGGGACGACGAUGCAAUUCAGUUUUGGACUCUAUUGGUGGCCAUACAGAUAUUGAGAACAGAUGACCUUCACCUUCUACUGUCCCAUGUGUGUGGAACCUGGGUCAGUGAGAAUGAUGUCUGCAAAUUUAGUACAAUCGAUUACCAUCUGCUGAUAUUUAUAUGAUAUGUAAGAUAUACAUGUACAUCUACACAUCACUUUUGCGAGUGUUUUUUGCAGAGUAUAUAUUCAGAUUUAUUACAUAAAUGGAAAUACAUUUUGCAGACAAUCUGCAAGCACCACAGGUGAAAAUUCAAAUUCCAACUGUGACCAAUCUGCCAUGGCCGGUGAAGAUAAACUUGCAGAUUAUCGGGAAGGAGGUGAUAAGGUACCUUUUGUAUAUUUAAUAACGCCUAUGGCCGUGAUCCUGUCCACACAUCACGACUGGGAACAUCUGGAAGUGAAGUGAAAACAUCAACUUUCCGUUGUUUGUCUGUCAGUUUCAGACUGUUCCAGAGAGGGGACACUUCAGCCUUCAGCUACAUAUUAAAACUGAGGGGGACCUGGACUAUUGUCUCCUGAGUGGCGUAGUUUACAUAGUUGCGUCCUUACGGCGUGGAUUCUAGCAUCAGGGGUUUCAGGCUCAGACACGGACCCCAUCCCCAUGUACAUACAGACCAUUAGCCCCAUCGGAGAGAGAUCCUGGCCCCUCCUAUUCAAUGUCAAGGUCACAGCGCCUAACCCGCUCGGUGAGUGAGGAUAGAGAUUGAGGACGCCAUGCCAGGCCCUAGUGCAUACUCACCAGCAGCCCCAUCGCAGAGACCCUGGCCCCUCCCACUCACUCGGGUCAAGACCGCGUGAUUUAUCCGUGUGGACCACCAUCGCCAUCCUCGCUACAUCCAGGACCCAAGUUCUCCAUCACCUCAAGACACAUGCCAUCCCGCUUUGCCAUCACAGUUGAAGAGGAUUAAGAGAUAUUUCCAAUGUGUGUGCAAACUUAGCAGAGUGGGUGAGUGAGUGGGUUGGGUUUAACGCCGCUUUAAACAGUAUUCCAGUUAUAUCGCGGCGUGUCAGCUUUAUAAGUGAGGAAAGCCCGAAGUGAUGCAGGUCUCAGACGUUUACCACU